AAUCAACGCUGGCGGCGUGCCUAACACAUGCAAGUCGAACGUGAAAGCCCCGCAAGGGGUAAGUAGAGUGGCGCACGGGUGAGUAACACGUGGAUAACCUGCCUUGGAGUGGGGAAUAACCUCCCGAAAGGGGGGCUAAUACCGCAUAACACCUUUAGACAAAAGUCAAAGGGUUAAAAGGAGCAAUUCGCUCAAAGAGGGGUCCGCGCCUGAUUAGCUAGUUGGUGAGGUAACGGCUCACCAAGGCUUCGAUCAGUAGCCGUCCUGAGAGGGAGCACGGCCACACUGGAACUGAGACACGGUCCAGACUCCUACGGGAGGCAGCAGUGGGGAAUUUUUGGCAAUGGGCGAAAGCCUGACCAAGCAACGCCGCGUGGGUGAUGAAGUAUCUUGGUACGUAAAACCCUUUCGGCAGGGACGAACUCAAUGACGGUACCUGCGGAAGAAGCCCCGGCUAACUCCGUGCCAGCAGCCGCGGUAAUACGGGGGGGGCAAGCGUUGUUCGGAAUUACUGGGCGUAAAGGGCGCGUA
rnacentral:rRNA from 1 species